GAACUUUCUUAGUGGCGAACGGGUGAGUAAUGCGUGGGCACCUGCCCUCUAGAUGGGGACAACAUCCCGAAAGGGGUGCUAAUACCGAAUGUGCUCGCAUGAGGAAAGAUGGCCUUUUUAAAGCUAUCGCAGAGGAUGGGCCUGCGUCUGAUUAGCUAGUUGGUGGGGUAACGGCCUACCAAGGCGAUGAUCAGUAGCCGGUCUGAGAGGAUGAACGGCCACAUUGGGACUGAGACACGGCCCAGACUCCUACGGGAGGCAGCAGUGGGGAAUCUUCCGCAAUGGGCGAAAGCCUGACGGAGCAAUGCCGCGUGAGUGAUGAAGGAAUUCGUUCCGUAAAGCUCUUUUGUUUAUGACGAAGUGCAGAUUGUGAAUAAUGAUCUGUAAUGACGGUAGUAAACGAAUAAGCCACGGCUAACUACGUGCCAGCAGCCGCGGUAAUACGUAGGUGGCGAGCGUUGUCCGGAAUUAUUGGGCGUAAAGAGCAUGUAGGCGGUUUUUUAAGUCUGGAGUGAAAAUGCGGGGCUCAACCCCGUAUGGCUCUGGAUACUGGAAGACUUGAGUGCAGGAGA
rnacentral:rRNA from 1 species